UGGGGAAUUUUGGACAAUGGGCGAAAGCCUGAUCCAGCAAUGCCGCGUGUGUGAAGAAGGCCUUCGGGUUGUAAAGCACUUUUGUCCGGAAAGAAAUCCUUGGCUCUAAUACAGUCGGGGGAUGACGGUACCGGAAGAAUAAGCACCGGCUAACUACGUGCCAGCAGCCGCGGUAAUACGUAGGGUGCAAGCGUUAAUCGGAAUUACUGGGCGUAAAGCGUGCGCAGGCGGUUUGCUAAGACCGAUGUGAAAUCCCCGGGCUCAACCUGGGAACUGCAUUGGUGACUGGCAGGCUAGAGUAUGGCAGAGGGGGGUAGAAUUCCACGUGUAGCAGUGAAAUGCGUAGAGAUGUGGAGGAAUACCGAUGGCGAAGGCAGCCCCCUGGGCCAAUACUGACGCUCAUGCACGAAAGCGUGGGGAGCAAAACAGGAUUAGAUACCCUGGUAGUCCACGCCCUAAAACGAUGUCAACUAGUUGUUGGGGAUUCAUUUCCUUAGUAACGUAGCUAACGCGUGAAGUUGACCGCCUGGGGAGUACGGUCGCAAGAUUAAAACUCAAAUGAAUUGACGGGGUCAUA
rnacentral:rRNA from 1 species